AUUCCUGAUCACCUCUUUUCCACUACUUCAAGAUAAUAUUAAUUAUUUUUUCAGAGAGAUAGCACGGUAUCUGUUUUAUUUAUUUUUAAGAAUCGAACCGAGCUAAAAAUGUGAAAUAAUUAUGCUUCAAAUUUGAGAACUCAGACACCAACUAUCAAAUUCUUAGCAAACUACGUACGGUCGGUAAGAUUGUAUAAGUUAUUG
rnacentral:lncRNA from 1 species